GAUGAACGCUGGCGGCGUGCCUAAUACAUGCAAGUCGAGCGAACGGACGAGAAGCUUGCUUCUCUGAUGUUAGCGGCGGACGGGUGAGUAACACGUGGAUAACCUACCUAUAUGACUGGGAUAACUUCGGGAAACCGGAGCUAAUACCGGAUAAUAUUUUGAACCGCAUGGUUCAAAAGUGAAAGACGGUCUUGCUGUCACUUAUAGCUGGAUCUGCGCUGCAUUAGCUAGUUGGUAAGGUAACGGCUUACCAAGGCAACGAUGCAUAGCCGACCUGAGAGAGUGAUCGGCCACACUGGAACUUAGACACGGUCCAGACUCCUACGGGAGGCAGCAGUAGGGAAUCUUCCGCAAUGGGCGAAAGCCUGACGGAGCAACGCCGCGUGAGUGAUGAAGGUCUUCGGAUCGUAAAACUCUGUUAUUAGGGAAGAACAUAUGUGUAAGUAACUGUGCACAUCUUGACGGUACCUAAUCAGAAAGCCACGGCUAACUACGUG
rnacentral:rRNA from 1 species